AGUCGAACGAGAAAGCCCUUCGGGGUGAGUACAGUGGCGAACGGGUGAGUAACACGUGGGCAACUUAUCCCUUGGGGGGGGACAACCGGAGGAAACCCGGCUAAUACCCCGUAAGCUUGCCGGGCCGCAUGGUCUGGCAAGGAAAGGUAGCUUCGGCCAUCCGGCGAGGGAGAGGCCCGCGGUGCAUUAGCUAGUUGGUGGGGUAACGGCCCACCAAGGCGACGAUGCAUAGCUGGUCUGAGAGGAUGAUCAGCCACACUGGGACUGAGACACGGCCCAGACUCCUACGGGAGGCAGCAGCCAGGAAUCUUGCGCAAUGGGCGAAAGCCUGACGCAGCAACACCGUGUGGGCGAGGAAGGCCUUCGGGUCGUAAAGCCCUGUUGUUGGGGACGAAGGGCGAAGGGUUAAUAGCCCCUA
rnacentral:rRNA from 1 species